UACGGGGGGGGCAAGCGUUGUUCGGAAUUACUGGGCGUAAAGGCUCGUAGGCGGCCAACUAAGUCGGAUGUGAAAUCCCCAAGCUUAACUUGGGAACUGCAUCCGAUACUGGAUGGCUUGAAUCCGGGAGAGGGAUGCGGAAUUCCAGGUGUAGCGGUGAAAUGCGUAGAUAUCUGGAGGAACACCGGUGGCGAAGGCGGGUCGUCGUGGGCCGGUAGCCGGACCGCUGGAGGAGCGAAAGCGUGGGGAGCGAACAGGA
rnacentral:rRNA from 1 species